rnacentral:rRNA from 1 species
UACGGGGGGAGCAAGCGUUGUUCGGAUUUACUGGGCGUAAAGGGCGCGUAGGCGGCCACCGCAAGUCGACUGUGAAAUCUCCGGGCUUAACCCGGAAAGGUCAGCCGAUACUGCAGGGCUAGAGUGCAGAAGGGGCAACUGGAAUUCUCGGUGUAGCGGUGAAAUGCGUAGAUAUCGAGAGGAACACCUGCGGCGAAGGCGGGUUGCUGGGCUGACACUGACGCUGAUGCGCGAAAGCUAGGGGAGCGAACGGG